AACGAACGCUGGCGGCAUGCCUAACACAUGCAAGUCGAACGAGACCUUCGGGUCUAGUGGCGCACGGGUGCGUAACGCGUGGGAACCUGCCCUUAGGUUCGGAAUAACUCCCCGAAAGGGGUGCUAAUACCGGAUAAUGUCUUCGGACCAAAGAUUUAUCGCCUUUGGAUGGGCCCGCGUUGGAUUAGCUAGUUGGUAGGGUAAAAGCCUACCAAGGCGACGAUCCAUAGCUGGUCUGAGAGGAUGAUCGGCCACACUGGGACUGAGACACGGCCCAGACUCCUACGGGAGGCAGCAGUGGGGAAUAUUGGACAAUGGGCGAAAGCCUGAUCCAGCAAUGCCGCGUGAGUGAUGAGGGCCUUAGGGUUGUAAAGCUCUUUUACCCGGGAUGAUAAUGACAGUACCGGGAGAAUAAGCUCCGGCUAACUCCGUG
rnacentral:rRNA from 1 species